rnacentral:rRNA from 1 species
ACGGGAGGCAGCAGUGGGGAAUAUUGGACAAUGGGGGAAACCCUGAUCCAGCGACGCCGCGUGAGUGAAGAAGUAUUUCGGUAUGUAAAGCUCUAUCAGCAAGGAAGAAAAUGACGGUACUUGACUAAGAAGCCCCGGCUAACUACGUGCCAGCAGCCGCGGUAAUACGUAGGGGGCAAGCGUUAUCCGGAUUUACUGGGUGUAAAGGGGGCGUAGACGGCAUAGCAAGUCUGAAGUGAAAUGCAUGGGCUCAACCCAUGAACUGCUUUGGAAACUGUUAAGCUAGAGUGCAGGAGAGGUAAGUGGAAUUCCUAGUGUAGCGGUGAAAUGCGUAGAUAUUAGGAGGAACACCAGUGGCGAAGGCGGCUUACUGGACUGUAACUGACGUUGAGGCUCGAAAGCGUGGGGAGCAAACAGGAUUAGAUACCCUGGUA